UCGGGAAUUUUGGGCAAUGGGGGAAACCCUGACCCAGCAACGCCGCGUGAAGGAUGAAGUAUUUCGGUAUGUAAACUUCGUAAGAAUAGGAAGAAUAAAUGACGGUACUAUUUGUAAGGUCCGGCUAACUACGUGCCAGCAGCCGCGGUAAUACGUAGGGACCAAGCGUUGUUCGGAUUUACUGGGCGUAAAGGGCGCGUAGGCGGCAAUUCAAGUCAUCUGUGAAAUCUCCGGGCUUAACUCGGAACGGUCAGAUGAUACUGCUUUGCUAGAGUGCAGAAGGGGCAAUCGGAAUUCUUGGUGUAGCGGUGAAAUGCGUAGAUAUCAAGAGGAACACCUGAGGUGAAGACGGGUUGCUGGGCUGACACUGACGCUGAGGCGCGAAAGCCAGGGGAGCAAACGGGAUUAGAUACCCCCGUAGUCCCUGAGCGGGCUGGCAAGGCGCAU
rnacentral:rRNA from 1 species